GACGAACGCUGGCGGCGUGCCUAAUACAUGCAAGUAGAACGCAGUUGCGAACGGGUGAGUAACGCGUAGGUAACUGCCUGGUAGCGGGGGAAAACUAUUGGAAACGAUAGCUAAUACCGAAUACUACCAGAUGGACCUGCGUUGUAUUCGCUAGUUGGCGGGGUAACGGCUCACCAAGGCAAAGAUCGAUAGCCGCACUGAGAGGGGGAUCGGCCACAAUGAGACUGAGACACGGCCCAGAUUCCUACGGGAGGCAGCAGUAGGGAAGCGUCGGCAAUGGACGGAAGUCUGACCGAGCAACGCCGCGUGAGUGAAGAAGGUUUUCGGAUCGUAAAGCUCUGUUGUAAGAGAAGCGGUAUCUUACCAGAAAGGGACGGCUAACUACGUGCCAGCAGCCGCGGUAAUUC
rnacentral:rRNA from 1 species